rnacentral:rRNA from 1 species
CCUACGGGAGGCAGCAGUGGGGAAUAUUGGUCAAUGGGGGGAACCCUGAUCCAGCGACGCCGCGUGAGUGAAGAAGUAUUUCGGUAUGUUAAGCUCUAUCAGCAGGGAAGCAAAUGCCUGUACCUGACUAAGAAGCACCGGCGAACUACUUGCCAGCAGCCGAGGUAAUACGUAGGGAGCAACCUUUAUCCGGAUUUACUGGGUGUAAAGGGAGCGUAGUCGGUGCAGCAAGCCAGGAGUGAAAGGCCGGGGCCCAACCCCGGGACUGCUCUUGGAACUGUGCGGCUAGAGUGCGGGAGGGGCAGGCGGAAUUCCUGGUGUAGCGGUGAAAUGCGUAGAUAUCAGGAGGAACACCGGCGGCGAAGGCGGCCUGCUGGACCGCGACUGACCUUGAGGCUCGAAAGCGUGGGGAGCGAACAGGAUUAGAUACCCGAGUAGUC